UGGAAAAAGGAUCACAGACAGUCACACAACGAGAAUCCAGUCAUCUGAACUCACAGGAAGUGAUGGUGUGAUGAUCAGAAGGUCCAGAGCAGCUGCAGUAGUGUUUGUGCUGCUGUGUGUUCUUCUGCUGACUGCACGCAUUAUACUGUGUGCCACCUUCACUCAAGAGAGACGACAGCUGCUGACUAAGAUCACCAACCUCACUCAAGAGAGAGACCAGCUAUUAACCAACAAUAUGAACCUCACAGAAGAGAGAGACAACAGCUGAAAUCAGAAAGAACUGAUCUUCAGAAGAAGUUUACGGAUGGAUGGAAGUGUCUUCAAUCCAGUCUUUACUUCAUUUCCUCUGAGACGAAGAACUGGACUAAGAGCAGAAGAUACUGUAGAGAGAGAAAAGCAGAUCUGAUCAUCAUCAACAACAGAGAGGAACAAUCAAGCCAGGUUGAGUUAGCAGUGGAUGAGAGCACCUUUGAUCACCAGGGAGUCAGUCAAGAGAGA